GACGAACGCUGGCGGCGUGCUUAACACAUGCAAGUCGAACGGAAAGACCCUGCUUUUGUGGGGUGCUCGAGUGGCGAACGGGUGAGUAACACGUGAGUAACCUGCCCUUGACUUUGGGAUAACUUCAGGAAACUGGGGCUAAUACCGGAUAGGAGCUCCUGCUGCAUGGUGGGGGUUGGAAAGUUUCGGCGGUUGGGGAUGGACUCGCGGCUUAUCAGCUUGUUGGUGGGGUAGUGGCUUACCAAGGCUUUGACGGGUAGCCGGCCUGAGAGGGUGACCGGCCACACGGGAACGGAGACAGGGUGCAGAGGACUACGGGAGGCAGCAGUAGGGAAUCGGACGCAAGGGGCGAGAGCCUGAAGGAGCAACGUCGCGUGAGUGAGGAAGGUCUGCGGAGCGGAAAACUCGGGUAUGAGGGAAGAACAAACGUGUAAGUAACUGUGAACGGCGUGAAGGUAAAUAAUAAGAAAGCCACGGCUAACUACGUG
rnacentral:rRNA from 1 species